AAAAGAAUUAAUAGUCACCUAGAAGCCAUGAUAUCGCCGAAACUGUGAACCGCAUCACGAUAAUUAGACUCUAAGUCGCCCCUCUGCUUCAAAGAAGUACCAAGAGCUGCUUCUAUAAAUGUUAUAAGAUACCGUGCUUCAUUGUUUAAAGUGACAACGAAGUGUUUCAGGAUAUUAAAGUGAAAGGCUGGUGUCAAUAUCUUUCGACGUGUUUGCCAUUUCUCACCUAUCAAAUGAAACAUAAAACGUUAAAUAAUAUUAAGCACGUUUACUGAAUUUCUAUUUGUCCAAACUAUUACCUCCACUGGUUAGCAAUCCGGUAGACAGCCAAGGUCUCAAGAAAUGUGAACAUUCGAAAUAAGAGAGAGAGAGAGAGAGAAAGAAGGAGAGAGGAAGAAACAGAUAAAAAACGUAUUCUACUCAUGUCGCAUAAUAAUUUACCUCAAUAUCAUCCGGAUGAAGUAAAACUACUACCCAAAAAUAAAAGC